rnacentral:rRNA from 1 species
AACGAACGCUGGCGGCAUGCCUAACACAUGCAAGUCGAACGAGACCUCCGGGUCUAGUGGCGCACGGGUGCGUAACGCGUGGGAACCUGCCCUUAGGUUCGGAAUAACUCCCCGAAAGGGGUGCUAAUACCGGAUAAUGUCUUCGGACCAAAGAUUUAUCGCCUCUGGAUGGGCCCGCGUUGGAUUAGCUAGUUGGUAGGGUAAAAGCCUACCAAGGCGGCGAUCCAUAGCUGGUCUGAGAGGAUGAUCAGCCACACUGGGACUGAGACACGGCCCAGACUCCUACGGGAGGCAGCAGUGGGGAAGAUUGGACAAUGGGCGAGAGCCUGAUGCAGCAAUGCCGCGUGAGUGAUGAAGGCCUUAGGGUUGUAAAGCUCUUUUACCCGGGAUGAUAAUGACAGAACCGGGAGAAUAAGCUCCGGCUAACUCCGU